rnacentral:rRNA from 1 species
CCUACGGGGGGCAGCAGUGAGGAAUAUUGGUCAAUGGCCGUAAGGCUGAACCAGCCAAGUAGCGUGAGGGAAGACUGCCCUAUGGGUUGUAAACCACUUUUAUGCGGGGAUAAAGGUGUCCACGUGUGGAUGUUUGCAGGUACCGCAUGAAUAAGGACCGGCUAAUUCCGUGCCAGCAGCCGCGGUAAUACGGAAGGUCCGGGCGUUAGCCGGAUUUAUUGGGUUUAAGGGGGGCGUAGGCGGGUCUUUAAGCGUGCCGGGAAAUUUUGUGGCUCAACCAUGAGAGUGCGGCGCGAACUGGAGACCUUGAGUGCGCGGAAGGCAGGCGGAAUGCGUGGUGUAGCGGUGAAAUGCUUAGAUAUCACGAAGAACCCCGAUUGCGAAGGCAGCCUGCCGCAGCGUUACUGACGCUGAAGCUCGAAAGCGCGGGUAUCGAACAGGAGUAGAUACCCUAGUAGUC